AUGAACGCUGGCGGCGUGCCUAAUACAUGCAAGUCGAGCGAACGGACGAGAAGCUUGCUUCUCUGAUGUUAGCGGCGGACGGGUGAGUAACACGUGGAUAACCUACCUAUAAGACUGGGAUAACUUCGGGAAACCGGAGCUAAUACCGGAUGAUAUUUUGAACCGCAUGGUUCAAAAGUGAAAGACGGUCUUGCUGUCGCUUAUAGAUGGAUCCGCGCUGCAUUAGCUAGUUGGUAAGGUAACGGCUUACCAAGGCAACGAUGCAUAGCCGACCUGAGAGGGUGAUCGGCCACACUGGAACUGAGACACGGUCCAGACUCCUACGGGAGGCAGCAGUAGGGAAUCUUCCGCAAUGGGCGAAAGCCUGACGGAGCAACGCCGCGUGAGUGAUGAAGGUCUUCGGAUCGUAAAACUCUGUUAUUAGGGAAGAACAUAUGUGUAAGUAACUGUGCACAUCUUGACGGUACCUAAUCAGAAAGCCACGGCUAACUACGUG
rnacentral:rRNA from 1 species